rnacentral:lncRNA from 1 species
UAACCUCAUGUGGACUAGGACUAGAGGAACAUAGACUCUCACUUAAAUACUACCACACGAAAGAACAUCAUGUUCACCUCUGCAUAUGCAGCUCUCCUGGUUUCCGCUUCGUUGCUACUAGUGCAAGGGGAUGCGGUCUCAACCGUUUGCCUGGAUGAACAGGGUCAAACAUACCAGGACCAGGAGAGUUGGCAGCCACACCCAUGUAUGUCCUGUAAGUGUGAUAAUGGAAACCCAAAUUGUGUUCUGAGCUUUUGUGCCCCCCUGCUCAACUGCCCCCAUCCAGGGGUCGUCCCACAAAACCAAUGCUGCCCUGUCUGCCCAGAGAUGCAAUGAUAUUCAGAUGUUCCUCCUCCUGGCCCCCAACAACAGGGUCGAAGGCCAUGGCCAGGGCAGUGAUCCCACAAGAUGGAUGGGACAAUUAUGCGUGCGGCCAUCUUGUGUUUCUACAUGGAUUUAUUAAAGCUCCAUGAAGCAUGUUGAAUAAACGAAUCAGACCUGACUCCUCA